rnacentral:rRNA from 1 species
CCUACGGGAGGCAGCAGUAGGGAAUCUUCCACAAUGGGCGAAAGCCUGAUGGAGCAACGCCGCGUGAGUGAUGAAGGCCUUCGGGUUGUAAAACUCUGUCAUUCGGGACGAACCGGAGUCUGAGGAAAUGCAGACUCUCUGACGGUACCGGAGGAGGAAGCCCCGGCUAACUACGUGCCAGCAGCCGCGGUAAUACGUAGGGGGCAAGCGUUGUCCGGAUUCACUGGGCGUAAAGCGCGCGCAGGCGGUGAUGUAAGUCUGAGGUGAAAACCCGAAGCUCAACUUCGGGACUGCCUUGGAUACUGCGUCACUUGAGGAUAGGAGAGGCAAGGGGAAUUCCACGUGUAGCGGUGAAAUGCGUAGAGAUGUGGAGGAACACCUGUGGCGAAGGCGCCUUGCUGGCCUAUUUCUGACGCUGAGGCGCGAAAGCGUGGGGAGCAAACAGGAUUAGAUACCCUGGUAGUCCACGCUGUAAACGAUGAGUGCUAGGUGUAGGUGGGCUCAUACCCAUCUGUGCCGAAGCUAACGCAUUAAGCACUCCGCCUUGGGGAGUUACGGUUCGCAAGACUUGAACUUCAAUUGAAUUGAGG